rnacentral:rRNA from 1 species
GACGAACGCUGGCGGCGUGCUUAACACAUGCAAGUCGAACGGAAAGGCCCUGCUUUUGUGGUGUGCUCGAGUGGCGAACGGGUGAGUAACACGUGAGUAACCUGCCCUUGACUUUGGGAUAACUUCAGGAAACUGGGGCUAAUACCGGAUAGGAGCUCCUGCUGCAUGGUGGGGGUUGGAAAUUUUCGGCGGUUGGGGAUGGACUCGCGGCUUAUCAGCUUGUUGGUGGGGUAGUGGCUUACCAAGGCUUUGACGGGUAGCCGGCCUGAGAGGGUGACCGGCCACAUUGGGACUGAGAUACGGCCCAGACUCCUACGGGAGGCAGCAGUGGGGAAUAUUGCACAAUGGGCGGAAGCCUGAUGCAGCAACGCCGCGUGCGGGAUGACGGCCUUCGGGUUGUAAACCGCUUUCGCCUGUGACGAAGCGUGAGUGACGGUAAUGGGUAAAGAAGCACCGGCUAACUACGUG